GGUUAGUUGGCGCAACGGUAGUCGCGUCUCCAAUGCAUCUACCUCUUCUUCCCGUGUACAUAGAUGCCUUGGCGAUUUUGGAUAGGGAAGUAAGUAGCUCGAUGGACGAAGGUAGCAGGUUCAACUCCUGCACUGACCA